GACGAACGCUGGCGGCGUGCUUAACACAUGCAAGUCGAACGGAAAGGCCCUGCUUUUGUGGGGUGCUCGAGUGGCGAACGGGUGAGUAACACGUGAGUAACCUGCCCUUGAUUUUGGGAUAACUUCAGGAAACUGGGGCUACUAUCGGAUAGGAGCUCCUGCUGCAUGGUGGGGGUUGGAAAGUUUCGGCGGGAUGGGAUGGACUCGCGGCUUAUGAGCUUGCUGGUGGGGGAGUGGCUUACCAAGGCUUUGACGGGUACCCGGCUUGGGAGGGUGGCCGGCCACAUUGGUACUGAGAGAGGGACCAGACUCGUACAGGAGGCAAAAGGGGGGAAUAUGGCACAGUGAGCGGGAGCCUGAGGCAGAAACGCCGCGGGCGGAAUGACGGCCUUCGGGUUGAGAACCGCUGUCGCCUGAGACGAAGCGGUAGUGACGGUAAUGAAUAAAGAAGCACCGGCUAACUACGUG
rnacentral:rRNA from 1 species